UACGUAGGGUGCAAGCGUUAUCCGGAAUUAUUGGGCGUAAAGAGCUCGUAGGCGGUUUGUCGCGUCUGCUGUGAAAACUGGAGGCUCAACCUCCAGCCUGCAGUGGGUACGGGCAAACUAGAGUGCGGUAGGGGAGAUUGGAAUUCCUGGUGUAGCGGUGGAAUGCGCAGAUAUCAGGAGGAACACCGGUGGCGAAGGCGGGUCUCUGGGCAGUAACUGACGCUGAGGAGCGAAAGCGUGGGGAGCGAAC
rnacentral:rRNA from 1 species